rnacentral:misc_RNA from 1 species
UGUGCAUGACAUUCUUUCAACCCCUGUGAAUCCCAUACACUUACAAUGCAAAAAAUGCAUCAACUCAAUUCUAAAUGAAGGGUGCAGCCAAUUGUGUUAAAUAUUGCAAAUUGCAGAAUUCCGUGAGUCAAUGUUUGCUUGAAUGUAGAAAUGUACUUGGGUAUCACCUUGGUACAUCAUUUGUUCAUGUUGGUGUUGUUUC